ACCGACAUCUUGUCUUGGCUGGAGACUGUGACCGCCGGGCGGGAGCUCCCCAGCGCUACGUUGUCGGAUGGAGACUGGAAGCCUCCUCUGCCCGCUUACAACUUCUUACGCAUGAUGGAGGCCACCCUGCCCGAAUUCACCGUCUAUAGUCACCACGGCAGCGAUGGGCUGCAGCAGCCAGAGGAGGUAUCGGAGGAGACGCUGGCUGUCCGAGAGGAGCAGGCGGAGGAACCGGGCCUCGGCGCAGAGAAAGGCCACGCGUCAGGGAGAGACUUGCGUGGCACAGCUCCCAGGCUGGUAGGAAGAGAGAAGCCGCCCACGCGGCACACAGAGCUGUGACGGCCAACGACCAGCCUACGGGGGCAAAGAAAGGCCACUGAGAGGGCAGCUGGGACAUUCCUCUCAUCGGCUAGGACAAUCUGAUGCUUCAAAUGGCCAUUGUGAUGCUUUAAAGCCAAAAGGCACAUGGCCGUGUGAUAAACUGGCUGUGGAGUGAAAACCGCAAGAGCAUGUCUCUUUAAAGCCCGAUUCCCAAGCCGAUCAAGUGGAGAGCGUCCUGUCUAGUGCGGUGACCUGCUGCUGUAUCCGUGCCCUGGGAAUGUGCAUGGCUCCUGAGAGAGCGCCCAGCAGCCAGCUGUGACACUGGUCAGGUCACCACUUAAAUCUCCCCCAUUGUGUCUCCUCCCGUAGCCAAUCAGGAAGGGAGCUAGCCUGGCGUUUUGCUUUUGGUGAGCAAUCUGAGGGCUUCGCCCACACAUCAAACCCACCCCGGCUAGUUAAAGCCAGCGUGUGUCUUGAUUACACCCACAGAAGGCGCCUUUAUAUCAGUCCAGCCGUGUCCACAUGAGGAGCUGCACCAGUAGAACUAAAAAAUAUCCCCCCCCCAACCCCCGGAAGAGUGAAAUUGGUACAAAGGCUGCGUGUGGAGCUGAGUGGGGAAGUCAAACACGCUGGCCUCCCCAGUUGUUUCUCUCCCGCCAGGUUUGUGUGUGGCCGCUUGGGAAGGUCUAGCUCGGACGUGCUGUUUCUGAGCAGAGAUGGAGAAUCCCAAGGAGUUAGUUUGUGGUCGGGGCGGUUUGAGGCGGGCUGCGGCAGCUGGCGCCCCAGGCGGAAUGCACAAUCGGCACCCAUGCCCACACAGCCGUCGAUGGAGCGACGUAAUCAUCCGGCGCCCCGUUGAAGGUGGCGCCCUAGGCGACGGCCGAGUCGGCCUGUAGUCACAGGCCGCCCCUGGUUGUGAUUAGCCACAAAAUCCAAGGGCCCAGGCAGGCAACAGCAGUCAUUUGAGCGCAGUAACCCGUGUAACCAGCUUGCAGAGCAAAGAAAUCAGUCCACAAAACCGCUGAGCACACAGGACUGGCUAACAAGGGGAAUCCUGGGCUAGGGAAAUUGGCUUGCUCCCUACUGACGGACUGCAGGUAGCCAUCACCCAUCACUCUCCCCACCCCCACCCCCCUUUUUUUUUGUUCCUCCCGGGAUGACUAGUCCAAGUUCUGGGACCUGAGUAGAUGAGGAAGGGGAGUGCCCAAGGACAGCCAUUCAGAGCAGUGCGAAAGGCAUCAGGCUUUAAAGGAGAGUCUGGAGUCACCCAGGCUGCUCUAGACUGCCUGACUUACUGCCCAGGAAAAAGGCAGCAGAACGAAGACCUUUGCUUCCUCUUUUUUAGUCACCAGUGGUGGCAAUGUAUUAAUUUAUGGAGCCUCAUCCACAGAGCGACUCGUGUGAGUCAGGGCUGCGGGAUCAACACGCCUUUAAGUUAAAGGAAACAAAACUAGCGUGAAUAUUAAUUCAGUCCUGGUAGGUUUGGAUCAAGGCCCCGUGAAGGUGGUGGAAAUGUAUGUACACUGGACCAGCUGGCAUCAGCUUACAUCAACAGACUGCCCUUGGAGCGAGCAUUGGACGCCCUGGGUUGGUCGCCUUUAUCGUGUAAAACAACAACACUAAUCAAUGGUUAGAGCAUCGUAAACGCUGCUUUUUCCUAGACCUGAAUGCCGCCUAGGGACCCCGGCGAUGGGGUAUUUCAAAUGCCUGGGUAGAUAGGAUCUGGAGCCUGUUCGGUUUUCUCAAGGCCCCUACCUGAAACAGACCAUUUCUUGACCUAGUACCAAAGCCAAAGUCGUUUUUCAAGGUUCUGUUGUACAUCUGCCCUGAAAAGAGCAGGCGUCUGCAGAGCUGUGCGCUGUUUGGGAGGGAAAUAUAAGGGAACAACGCGAGCUGGACCCUCAGUUGGAGUCAAUUUGUGCUCGUCUAUAUAGGUUCUCCUACCACGCUCAUCACUGGUGGUUGGACGUGGGGGCACAUAAUGCAAGGUAGAUGCUAGAGCCCCGUGGGGGCACCCAAGGUUCAGUAGUUCCUAACGGGGGUUACAAACGAUUGGAGUUGCUCAAGCCGUAGGUUAACAAACCCAGGGUCUGCUGACUUGAGUACCACCCCAGAGCCCCGGGCUCACGUUGUAAUGGAAUAGCAUUACGACGGAGAUUGGAUCCAUGUGAUCAUGCUUUGAAAUGCAAGUCCUGUUCAACGCACUGUACAGGUCAGGGGAAUGGAACGAAGCCAGAGACCCGUGUGUGGCUGUUGUGUAUUGACGUAUUAUUUCUUUAAAAAAUGUUUCAACGCGCCUUUAAGUUAAAUGACGCAAAACUACACGCACCAUUUAUAUCCCUUUGCUUCUCAGAGAUUCAGGAUUAAAGUGUAAUUUCAUCCAGUUAAGCCAUGGA